rnacentral:lncRNA from 1 species
UCUGUGUAUCUGAGGCCAUACAGUUGUGUGGCCAUACAGUUAUUUUAAAGCAAGGUCUUAUUAUGUCACCAUGGCUGGCCUGGAACUCAUAAUGAUAUGCCUGCCUCUGCCUCCUAAGUGCUGGGAUUAAAGGCAUGUCCUGCCACUCGGGGCUAGCUUGUCUUAAUGGCAGGUGUUGAUGUCUAACUUGGAGCUGAAGGUAGAUGGGGGCAAACAUAUGUCUGCGGAGCUAUUGCUUUGGUUGACACUGAUGGUUUUUUUUGGGGGGGAGCUUGAUGGUUGUGGCCAUGCUUGAGGGGUGGGCACCUCUGACCAUCCUUCCAUCCUGGAUCUGUGUUUCUGUAGCCAGGGUUACUCUAUGUCUGGAAGGGGAGGGGUGUGGAGACAGUAUGUGUACCCUGCAGGCUCCCUAGCCAGCCGCACCUUCCCUAACCAUCAGGGCAGGCAGCCAGGGGAGCCCCGGGGUGCCAUUUACUCUGGCACUUUCUGUAUGUCUGUGGGAGGGGGAGAUGAGCUGAUAAGCCUUAUCUGCUAUUACCAGGGCCAUGCUGAAUAACCGUUCUAAUGAGGUGGCCUCGCUGGGACCACCAGCUCCCAGGCCCCCUUCCUAUUGGGUAGGGAUAUGGUCAGCCAGACCUGGAGCACUGAGCCAAUCCACUAGAGACCUGGUAGAGCCUGUGUCCCCAGAGACCCUUAUUUAUUUAUUUAUUUAUUUAUUUAUUUAUUUAUUUAUUUUUAGGUCUGCCUUGUUUCAUAGAGGAAGGUCCUAGGAACUGCAGCUGAGACAAUCAGUCCUCUCUUUUCCCUGGACUGGGCUGACUAGAGAGACAGGAGCCACUCAAUCUGAUCUUCUGAAGGCAGGCAGUAUGAGGCCCAGAACUUGGGAUGGAGUGAAUUGGAGUCACAGUGACAGAAAGCUCUAGAGAAAAGGGGAGAAACAAGAAGCAGGGGGUCCUGGGAACAGAUUUAUUAUUAUUUUAUUUUAUUUUUUUAGUGUAGUCACGCAAAGGGGCAGAAGUGCUGGCAGGAUGGGCCUAGGGACUGGGGUACUUAGGCUGAAAUAAACAAUUAGCAAGUGUCAGAAUGAAUCAGAGAGGUGGGCAUAAAGGCGAAGAAAGUAUCAGCCAGUGAGAGGCAUGGACAUAGGAAGAGAUGCCGGACUGGAGAGGGACUAAAGAAAACAGAUGAGUAAAGCAAGGAGCAAGGAGCAAGGAGCAAGGAGAGAAGGGCCCAGAGAGGCGUGGGCGGAGGGAAAGAAAGCAGGUCUGAGGGAAAUGUAAGGACCAAAGAUGUAGAGGCCUAGCUGGCCUGGCUGAAGGGAAGCUAGGUCCUUGGAGACCCGGCAAGGCAUGAGCUAGGGCUGGGACCCCGGACAGGGCAAGGAUCGCCUGGUGGUGGAGACGGGCAGGGGGGUCUGAGUGGGCCUGAGCCGCUGUCCCGGGUAAUUUUUCAUCUCGGCCGGCUAAUCUUUGUUCCCGGCGAAGAUAAUGAAUAGCCAAUCGUUAUCUGCCCGGCUCCCGGAGGCUGCCCGAGAAUGGGGUUGUACAGGGCUGGGAAUUGUUUCCAAAGUGCCGCGGAAUAAAUGGUGUUUCUUAUCUCUGCCUUCCAGAUUAUCGCAGCCCUUUCAGAGCGCACACAACAAAUGCGCCCGCCAUCGAAUGCAGCAUUUACCACCACAGAUCCGCGCGCCGAUGGGCAGGCUGAUAAAGUCCGCGGGGGGCUCGCCGGGGCGAGUGUGCGCCCCGGCUCUGCCUGGUGUGUUUGGAGGAACACGUGGGUAUGGCAGCGCGUGGACCCUGAGCACGCAAGGAUGUGAGUGUGCGAGUAAGUGUGCCUCGAGAAAGUUCACGUGUGCGAGACCCUGCGCACAUGCAUGGUGAGUGUUGUGGCGAGUGCCAGAGCAGAGGCCACCAAGAGGCUGGCGGGUAGGGUUGCUGCACGUGGCCUCGUGGGAAGCAUGCGGCUAAUGUGCGCCGAGUGCACGAGACAAUUUACUUUGAGGGCCUACAAGUACCUAGCCUUGGAGGAUGUUGUUUGAGGGUGCGGAACAGAGGGGUUCGAAGCCACUCCAAGUAUGUGUAGCACUUUGCAGGCUGCACUCCACAAGGUGUCUUCCUAAAGCUGCUGGAUGGAAGCGGUAGCUGACGUUUGUGCCGGGGACUCAGGCCUUUGGAACACGCACGGGUCUGUGGGACAGUGUGGACCCAGAACGACUAGGUGUGCAGAGAGAUGCGCGAAGGGACAGCGGCCCUGAGGCCUUGCGGUUCUUUGGAGUCUCUGGACAAGAACCCCCUCCCCUCCUGUCUGCUGGUCCCUCCACCCGAAGAAGUCUGCCUAUGGCCAAAUAGCAUCCAUUAGACGGUAGUUAUUCUCUUCUCCCCUCCUCUACUCCCCUCCUCUGUCUGAUGGUCAAUUUUAUCGUUUCUAGUGAAUUCUCUAAUAACAUUUGCUUGUUCAGGGGUCUGUGAUGUUUUGAACAACGGCAGGGCUGUGGAAUUCUGACGACUAGUUGGGAUUAUCACAACAUGGGGAAGGAGUGGCUGAGGACCUAAGGGGUCUGUAAGCCCCACGGGCCGGGUUACAAAGCCUUCCUUGCUUCACUGAACAUAGGAUAGUCACUGGCUGUGAGGUACAAGAGUUACCCAGCAGCCACACCCCAGGACCUGCCUACCUGAUCUGAAUGAGAGGGAGCUACAUGGCCCCUCCCUUCUCUGCACCUGCGGAGGUGAAUUCACCCCAUCUUGCUCUCCUAGAGCUGGUCCUGGGUAGCAGUGGGACCUGUGGCCCGAGUGGUACUUGAACCACAGGAAACCUCAUUAUUUAGGUUAAUUAGACAGAGCAGCCCCAGCCUUGGUGGUCCAUUGCUGACUGUGGAGCUGGGACGGCAUACUGCCAAAAGGAGUUUAGCAGGCUCCAUUCUGGGGCUUGGGGCUUGGGAGUAGCUCUGGCCAGGAGUGCUGGGAGUUACCUUAAGUUCUAGCAGUUUCCUCAGCACUGUCCUGGAAGAGGAGCUGAGUGGGGGCUCCCCCAUCCACAGACCUUCCCCUCCCACAUGGUCAUCCACAGACCAAGCCUCCUAGCUUGGCAGCUUUAUACAAGUUGCUUUCCCACUCGGAGCCUCUGGUUCUGCCUCUGCACUUCUCCUUCCAGGAUCCAGGAUCGUGGACUGUGGGGCUUGUGUGUGAGCUUGCCUUUAAACAGCAUUUUUGUAAGCCUGACUUGACAAUUGGCAGCCAAAGUCUCCAGCUGGUACCACACCCAAUGUCUGCCAGCACUAGAUGCGGAGGAUCUCAUGUAAAGAAUUUCGUUUCUUGCAUCUCGUGAAACACUUCAAGACUGGCCACUUUGUGCCUGAGUUCUUCAUGGUGAGGGAAUGCUGGAGUGCUGUGAAUACCCCUGUGAGAACCUGGAGCCGACACAUACCCCAGUCCUUAGAUCAGGAACACUGAGUACCAGUGGCUGGGUUAGUUUUGCCUUCCCCUCCAGCACUGGGGACUUCAGGCUUGUUUCUCUCUGUAGGACCAGUAAACCUCUUAGUAAUUAGUCAAUGACUUAAUGCAAUCAACAUGUAAAGGGGACACAUGGAGCCUUACUGCAAAAGUCCCCAGUGGUGCAUAUUGAACUGUGCCCAAUGCAGUGAGCUGUGUGUGCCCAAUGCAGCGAACUGUGCCCAAUGCAGUCAGGUCUGACUCAUCACGAAGAUCAGUGCAUCAUCAGAUUAUGGUAACAAUCAUUGGGGGCAUGUUUUCUAAUAUCCAGGCCUCCCUCUGAACAAUAGAAGCCGUGAAAUAAAAGGGACAUGGACAUCACCACUGUGUGCAGCAGCCCCCCCCCCCCUUAGGAUUCAUGGGCAGUAGUGGUGCAUACCUUUAAUCCCAGCACUUGGGAGAGGCAGAGGCAGAGGCAGAGGCAGAGGCAGAGGCAGAGGCAGAGGCAGAGGCAGAGGCAGAGGCAGAGAGGCAGAGGCAGAGGCAGAGGCAGAAUCUCUGAGUUCUGGGGCAGCCCUGUUUACAGAGUGAGUUCCAGAAAAACUAAAGUUAAAUAAAGAAUGAGGAGAAGGAGGAGGACGAGGACGAGGAGGAGGCCUCCUCCUCUUCCUCUCUGGGCUUACUGGCCUUGGUUGUGAGGAGUCCAUUUGCAUUUUGGAAAAUGCUCAGUCAUGUUAGAAACAGAAUCGACUUGAGCUGGCAGCAUGGGGACAUAGAGGGACCUGGAGGAUGGUAAGGUGAGUCCAGGGUUCUACUUUGCAGUCUGUCUAUCCUGACCUUUCCCAUCUGCAUUGCUGCUCCUACUGCUAUCUUCUCCUGCUCAGAUUACCAUAGCAACAUUCUCUCAGGACAUCAAAACCAGGGUCCUAUGCGAACCUCCUCUCCUUCCCUGCUAGAAGAAGCCCCAAAAGCUUGUUCUUUGUUACCCAUCAGGCUGCUGAGCUGUCCUCCUGGCUCCCUCCUACAGCUCCGCCCUCUCCCCAGGUGUUACCUCCCCAGGCCAUUUCUAGCUUAGCUGGGAGGGGAGGGUGUAGCAGGGAUCUGGAGGGUCCUAGGAAUUGCAAUAUUCCAGGUGGGCCACUUCACAGAGCAGUGGCUGGGAUUCCCCAAGGCACAGGCAACUUGCAGCUGGUGACCAGAACAGAGAAAGACCUAAGAUGAAGACAAACAAACAUCCAAGGCCUAGUGUAGGACCAGAGGCCAGCUGUGGAGACUGGGAUGCACGACUGGAUGUUAUGGGCACACAGGUGUUCCUUCUCAGACCCCAUAUCCACUCAGUACAGAGCACCUGUCUCCAGAGCCUGGCCAAUCAGAGCUUCCUGGAGUAAGAUGCAUUGGCUUAGAGUAGGUAUGUCAUUUAGAUCUAGGAGAAACACUUCUGGACACUCAUCUAUCCCUCAGCCCAGGAUUCAUCUUCCUGGUCAGACAAAACCUAGAGCUGCUGGUGCCAUCUUCGUGCCACACAAAACCUGCUGAGAGCAGAAAUCACUGGGGCUCAGAGCUGAGAGAGACAGAGAGAAUCCUACUGUGCUAUCUAUUUUGUUUGUUUUGUUUUGUUUUGUUUUGUUUUGUUUUGAGACAGGGUCUCUCUGUAUAGCCCUGGUUAUCCUGGAAAUCACUCUGAAGACCAAGCUGGUCUCAAACUGACAGAGAUCUGCCUGCCUCUGCCUCCUGAGCGCUGGGACUAAAGGUGUGUGCCACCAUAUCCAGCUCCUACUGUUCUAAUUAACCCCCAGGGCUUGAGCUGGUUGCUGCCUGGACUCUGCAGUUCCCUAGGACAACGUGGCACCUCCGUGCUUUACCCUUUUAUUGGUUCAAAGCGGGCUUUUACAUUGUUUACAACUGAACGUGCCCUGAUCUCAUAGCCAAAUGUGGAAGCCCAUGCCAGACAAGUAUCAGGUCCCAGCUAUGCCAGCCAGAGGCCAUUUGCAGGACACAGAUAGCACCGGGUCUCACUGAGCGACCCCUGUGUGCCUAUUCUUCAUCCAUCAUGAUGUGUCCCCUCAUUUACUUUCCAUAUCCCACGUGGACUGUAUAAAGAGAGGGUCACUUGUAAGACAGAAACCACAUUAAAAACCCAGAGAGGGGUGGGUAAGAUGGCUGUGUGGCUAGAGGUACUGCCAGCAAGUCUGCUGAUGUGAUCAAGUCUGAGUUUGAUCCCCAGGACCUGACUGGUGGAAGGAGGAGCCACUGCUCUCAAGUUGUCCCCUAUCCUCCACAGGCAUGCUAUGUGCAGGUAUGAACCACACACGCACACACAUACUACACAGGCACAUGUUCGUGCAUGCACGCACAUACAGACAAUGUGAUUGUGUGUGGCAGGGCAUAGACAAUGGUGGGCAGGUGAGGGCCGGGAAUGAUCAGUGUAUGUAUCACGUGUGUGUGAAGUUGUCUAAAAACAAAUUUAAUAAAGUAAAACAUAUAGAUGAGGUAUUUUCAUUUAAAAGGCUUCCUUGUGCUUUUUAAUAAUUUCUCAUUUUAUAGAAUUUCUCUCAGCCUCUAUUCAUGUGCAUAAAUAUACUUUAAUUUACUAAACGGCUUUCCUGUCAAUAGACAUUAAAAUUUUUAAUUUUAAUUAUUAAAUUAAUAAUUUAUUAAAUUAUUAAAUGUUUCAGUAACCAUGAGCCACAUUUCCAAGGCUUAAAAUUUUAAAAAGAAAGAUGAACAAUCUGUUAAAAAUUUAAGUUGGGCAUGGUGGUACAGGUUUGUAAUCCCAGCACUUGGGGGGGUUAAAGGCAGGGAGAUCUCUAUGAGUUCAUGUUCAGCAUGGUCUACAUAGGGGGUUCCAAGACACCAGCCAAAAUUACAUGGUGAGACCCUGUCUCAAGAAAGAAAAAAAA